CUAAUUGGCUAAACGUAAACGUCAAUCUCGGAAUACCGGAAGUGUUUAUGCUGUACAGUACUUCGAUCGCAGAAAAACCUAGAAAAUAAUGCUAUUAGCACUAGCAAUUUAAUGUUUUCAAGAUCACGACCCAUCAUCAAGAAUUUUUCUGGGUUUUGGCGAAGCCCACUGAAGUUUCGUCAUGGAGGUGCCUUGCUACCUGCCCAAGCUUCUGUUUGAACUCAACGAGCAGCGCAAGCGAGGCUACUUCUGUGACUGCAGCAUCCUGGUUGAGGGCCGUGUCUUCAAAGCCCACCGCAAUGUCCUGUUUGCAGGAAGUGGCUACUUUCGGGCUCUUUUGGUUCACUAUUUACAGGAUAGUGGACAGCGCCAAAGCACAGCAUCAUUAGACAUAGUUACAGCUGAUGCCUUCUCCAUCAUCCUGGAUUUCCUCUACUCCGGCCGGUUAGCCUUGAGCAGCAGCAGUGUCAUCGAAGUGAUGUCUGCGGCCAGCUACUUGCAAAUGACCGACCUGGUGAAUCUUUGCAAAAAAUACAUCAGCUCCUCUUUGGAAAUAUGCAAUAAAGACAAGGAAGGCAUAACCGAGGAGGAAAAUCCAGGACAGGAAGGACGAUACAGACCCGCGGACAGCGGCACUCCUGCUGCAUCCAAGUUGAGUAGCGUCGGGGCCAUGGAGCCUUGCUCACGGGUUACGGAAGCAGACGCAGCAUCUAUAAAGCCAGCAGCGAGCCCUUUGUACAUGCCUGGCAACAGCCCACCAGGCCCAAGUCGAGAAGCGGACUCCGACUACCGGUCUGUUAGUGAAAAACCAAAGGCACACACGGAUCAGACUAACCUCUCCUCAACGCUGUGUUCCACUUUGACUCACGAGUUAGUGAACCCCAAGAUAGAAUAUGACCCCGAUGAGGAGCUUUUGGAAUCCCCUGACAAUAAAGACCUUGCGUCAUCAUAUCCCGGACCUUCGGUCCCUCAUCACAGCAGAUCAAUCCCGCCAAGUUUUUCCAUGGAGCGCUCCUCUGUGGGCUACAGCUCUUCCUUUAGUGCCAGGCAGCUGAUGGAGAUGCUGGCCAGGGGUGAAGGUCCCAACCCUCUGGUGGACCGAGCGGCCCAGCGCAUGACUCAGAGACCACCGGGUAGCAUUUUAGGAGUGAGCCGAAUUGAGGACAGCUUGGGUUUUGUGGGAUCAUCUGUGAUGGAAAUUCAGUCGGAUUGGAUAGGAGAGGAUACAGGUGACAGCUUACUGGUUCCAGUCAAACUGCAUAAGUGUCCCUUCUGCCCGUACACGGCCAAGCAGAAGGGAAUUAUGAAGCGCCACCUUCGCUGUCACACAGGAGAGAGGCCCUUCCCCUGUCCAAUGUGUGGCAAGAGGUUCACCAGGCAGGAACAUCUUCGCACCCAUGCCCUGAGCGUCCAUCGUCAUGACUUGCCCAUGUCAUGCAAGAGCUGCAGGAGAAUCUUCUCCGGGUCCAGCGUAUCUCCAGGCUUCCGACGCUACGGCAUCUGCGACAGCUGCAACUGCGUGACCACCACCCACGUCGACUCCACCCCGCUACACCCGGCCGGCCAAGCGGAGCCCACGGAACGUGAAGAGGGCGGCGCCGAUUGGGCCAGUUUCAUGGACGAGGUGGACGAGGUGGAGGUUGGUCGAGUGGAAGACUUAGUGGAGAAACAGAUGCUGGAAAGGCAGCUGGCCGCGUGCAAUGACGUAGGUCACACUUUGUGAAUCUUUAGAAUUCCUCCCUGAUCGUCAUGAAGUCUAUUUGUAGAAUAUUCUUUGUUUCUUUGUUUUUUUUUUUUACAAAUAUCUCUUUGACUCGUGGAGACCUCACCUUGAUUUAGGUUAGCUUAAGCGGGGAAACACACAUUUAGUAAACAACUUAAGCAAUUUUUAAAAUCAUGACCCCACACACGAAGGAAAAAAAAGGGGCAAUGAAGUGAGCGUCUGAUGAUACUUGUCACGCCACAAGAUCAAUCUUUCAGAGGGCACCGACAAUCAUGCUUUUGCCGACUUGGACCGGAAAAAAAUGAAAAUGCUGAAAUCAGGGCCAGUUAUUGGUGUUGCCGUGCCUUGCUCUCGGUCCAUAGAUACUUUAUCGAUUACAUUUUGUGAGGGUUUUUAGGCCAUCGUUUUUAACCCCCUUCUGACUUGUAUGUCCUGCGUGUGUUUUUAUUAGUUUAUCUUUUAAUAUUGAAAAUGCAAACAAGUGAUAACCAUUGAAGCCCGGUGCAUGGCUCGUGCAAACGUGUCCAAUGAGAAGCAGAGCGCUGCUCUCUAGUGGUGACUUCACACACUUGCCAAUUGACUUUUGGAAGGCACUGAUGACAUGGAAGACUUUUUGAAGCCUCCAUUUGAACAAAGAUGUAAAUUGAGGUUAAGUCAACUGCUAUGGAGAUCUUGGUGGACUGAGAUCUGAACAGACGGCAGCGACAUGGAGAAACAUGACCCGGUGUGAAUGAACGAGGAUAGUAACAGAUUCACAGAAGGAAGAUCCUCCACAUCCACGGUUUUAUUGAAAAGAUUUGUUUGCUCCUUGUUGACUCCAACAAUGACGGCGAUGAAUGCGUUGCCUCAUGGUGGCCAAAAACCACAAGCUUUAACAAAUUCAAAAUGUGUCUGUCCACUCUGGAGAAGGGGCGGGGGGCAUCACACAAGUAAGGUGGAUUUUUUUUUUUCAGUUAUCACAAGCUGUUAUUUUAUUACUCGUUAUUUCAUUGGGAACACUUGUUUUUAUGGCAUAAAAGUCAAGCUGGUUGUUUUUCCCUUGUCAGAAUGAACACAAAAUAAGUUAAUAAAAGAGGAGAACUUU